AUGGGCGUAGCUGACAGGAAAGCAGCGGUCUCCAAAGCCGUGUUAACGCAGGUUCGAAUCCUGCCGCCCGUGC
rnacentral:tRNA from 1 species